UGAAGGAGGCAGCAUGAUGAUGGGAUGGUGCGGGCACAGAGGCCCAGACAGAGCCGGGGGGGUCACUCACCUCCUCCGCCUGCUUACGCAGAGCUUUCUCCCUUUCGUACUGAGUGAUGAGCUGCUCGUUGUCCUCUUUCAGCAGCUCCAGCUCCACUUCGUGCUCCUGGUUCUCGGUCAGUACCGCGUCCAGAUUUUCCAGGACGUUCACCACCAGUGGCAUCAGCUCCUUCACCACCUCCUCGUCAUAGCUACGGAUCAGGCGCUCGAACUCGCGGUAGAUGCUGUUGGCCAAGCCCGACACCCGCUCUGACAUCACGGAGCCGGAGCCGUAGUCGUCCUGGUAGACCACCUCGUCUAUCUGCAGCUCCAUCAUCUUGGCAGCUGGAGCCGGCUUCUGUUUUUCCAGAUGAGGAGACUGCGCUCAACAGUGUUUCGGGCCUGUAAGUCGAGACUCCCACAAGGUUUGGAUCCGCUCAGCGCAGAAUAAGGGGGGUAGUCACAGUCCUUAAAUACAGAAAACUCAUGCCAUUUUGCAGCAGCACAGAUCCGCUGAACGACGGCUGUCUGUUGUUGUGUAUAACCUUGAGCUCUGUACUGAAAAUAUUGGCUCUAAUAUUUGGAUAUCAAGAGGGCCCCCUCCUCUUCCACCAGCGGCUCGUUGUUUCGCCUCCAGAAGCGGCCCAGCUAUUGCUCUCCUCCCGCGGCAAUCGUCUGAUCCGGGGAGCGGUGGGUGUGCAGUGGGCCGGCCUGUGGAUCGGCCCUCGUUGAGUCCAUGCCGGGGAGCGAAAUGCCUUCGUCGAUGAUAUUGCACCUGCCUCUUAGCAGCCGCAGCCAUGGACCCCAGCCAUUACUGGCAGGGGAAAUAAAUAAAUUAAUAAAUAGCGGGCUGCCGGUGCUGCUGGCCAGGCUCGGGCGUUGAUGGUGAUGUCUCCCUAUGGGAGAGGCUCUCCCUGCUGUUCAGAUGGAGGAGCCAGCUGACCGACUCUGGCUGACGUCACACCGUCUGCAUCAAGCAAGCGGACUCAUUACGUCAAGCCAGAGAGACUAUACCGGAAGCCAGCUUCACGAUUUCAAAAUAAAGAUGAUUUAAAUUGUUA